GUCAGGAUGGCCUAGCGGUCUAAGGCGUUGAGUUCAGGUUGCAAUCGGGUCUUCCCGGUGAGGAUUCGAAUCUCUCUUCUGACA
rnacentral:tRNA from 1 species